rnacentral:rRNA from 1 species
UACGAAGGGGGCUAGCGUUGCUCGGAAUCACUGGGCGUAAAGGGUGCGUAGGCGGGUAUUUAAGUCAGGGGUGAAAUCCUGGAGCUCAACUCCAGAACUGCCUUUGAUACUGAGUAUCUUGAGUACGGGAGAGGUGAGUGGAACUGCGAGUGUAGAGGUGAAAUUCGUAGAUAUUCGCAAGAACACCAGUGGCGAAGGCGGACUCACUGGCCCGUUACUGACGCUGAGGCACGAAAGCGUGGGGAGCAAAGCAGG